UACGUAGGGUGCAAGCGUUGUCCGGAAUUAUUGGGCGUAAAGAGCGUGUAGGCGGCUUGUUAAGUCUUGCGUGAAAUCUCGGGGCUCAACCCCGAGCCGUCGUGAGAAACUGGCAGGCUAGAGUGCGGGAGAGGAGAGUGGAAUUCCUGGUGUAGCGGUGAAAUGCGCAGAUAUCAGGAAGAACACCCGUGGCGAAGGCGGCUCUCUGGAACGCAACUGACGCUGAGACGCGAAAGCGUGGGGAGCAAACAGG
rnacentral:rRNA from 1 species